UACGUAGGGUGCGAGCGUUAAUCGGAAUUACUGGGCGUAAAGCGUGCGCAGGCGGUUUUGUAAGCCAGAUGUGAAAUCCCCGGGCUUAACCUGGGAAUGGCAUUUGGGACUGCAAGGCUUGAGUGCGGCAGAGGAGACUGGAAUUCCUGGUGUAGCAGUGAAAUGCGUAGAUAUCAGGAGGAACACCGAUGGCGAAGGCAGGUCUCUGGGCUGACACUGACGCUCAUGCACGAAAGCGUGGGUAGCAAACAGG
rnacentral:rRNA from 1 species